rnacentral:rRNA from 1 species
AUUGAACGCUGGCGGCAGGCCUAACACAUGCAAGUCGAACGAGCGGCGGACGGGUGAGUAAUGUCUGGGAAACUGCCCGAUGGAGGGGGAUAACUACUGGAAACGGUAGCUACUACCGCAUACCAUCGGAUGUGCCCAGAUGGGAUUAGCUAGUAGGUGGGGUAACGGCUCACCUAGGCGACGAUCCCUAGCUGGUCUGAGAGGAGGACCAGCCACACUGGAACUGAGACACGGUCCAGACUCCUACGGGAGGCAGCAGUUGGGAAUAUUGCACAAUGGGCGCAAGCCUGAUGCAGCCAUGCAGCGUGUAUGAAGAAGGCCUUCGGGUUGUAAAGUACUUUCAGCGAGGAGGCGUUACUCGCAGAAUAAGCACCGGCUAACUCCGUGCCAGCAGCCGCGGUGAUUC